UACGUAGGGGGCGAGCGUUGUCCGGAUUCAUUGGGCGUAAAGAGCUCGUAGGCGGUUCGGCAAGUCGGGUGUGAAAACUCCAGGCUCAACCUGGAGACGCCACCCGAUACUGCUGUGACUCGAGUCCGGUAGGGGACCACGGAAUUCCUGGUGUAGCGGUGAAAUGCGCAGAUAUCAGGAGGAACACCGGUGGCGAAGGCGGUGGUCUGGGCCGGCACUGACGCUGAGGAGCGAAAGCGUGGGGAGCGAACAGG
rnacentral:rRNA from 1 species